AGUUGAGCGAAGCUUUUUGGUAGUUUACUACUAGAAAUGACUGAGCGGCGAACGGGUGAGUAACGCGUGAGCAAUCUACCUUAGUUACUGGGAUAGCCCGAGGAAACUCGGAUUAAUACCGGAUAUUCUUAUUUUUUCACAUGAAGUUUUAAGGAAAGGUCAGCCGAACUAAGAUGAGCUCGCGUUCUAUCAGCUAGUUGGUGGGGUAAAAGCCUACCAAGGCUACGACGGAUAGCUGGUCUGAGAGGACGAUCAGCCACACUGGGACUGAGACACGGCCCAGACUCCUACGGGAGGCUGCAGCAGGGAAUAUUGUGCAAUGAGCGAAAGCUUGACACAGCGACACCGCGUGUGGGAUGACGGUUCUAGGAUUGUAAACCACUUUCAGGAGGGAAGAAAUUGACGGUACCUCCACAAGAAGACCCGGCCAACUAUGUGCCAGCAGCCGCGGUAAUACAUAGGGGUCAAGCGUUGUCCGGAUUUAUUGGGCGUAAAGAGCUCGUAGGCGGUUCAACAAGUCGGUCGUAAAAGUUUAGGGCUCAACCCUAAAAUGUCGAUCGAUACUGUUGUGACUAGGAUACGGUAGAGGUGAAUGGAAUUCCCGAGUGUAGCGGUGAAAUGCGUAGAUAUUCGGAGGAACACCAAUUGCGAAGGCAGUUCACUGGACCGUGAUCGACGCUGAGGAGCGAAAGCUAGGGGAGCAAACAGGAUUAGAUACCCUGGUAGUCCUAGCUGUAAACGAUGGAUACUAGAUGUAGGAACUGGAUUGACGGUUUC
rnacentral:rRNA from 1 species